rnacentral:rRNA from 1 species
AUUGAACGCUGGCGGCAUGCCUUACACAUGCAAGUCGAACGGUAACGCGGGGCAACCUGGCGACGAGUGGCGAACGGGUGAGUAAUGUAUCGGAACGUGCCCAGUUGUGGGGGAUAACUGCUCGAAAGAGCAGCUAAUACCGCAUACGACCUGAGGGUGAAAGCGGGGGAUCGCAAGACCUCGCGCAAUUGGAGCGGCCGAUAUCGGAUUAGGUAGUUGGUGGGGUAAGGGCUCACCAAGCAAACGAUCUGUAGCUGGUCUGAGAGGACGACCAGCCACACUGGGACUGAGACACGGCCCAGACUCCUACGGGAGGCAGCAGUGGGGAAUUAUGGACAAUGGACGCAAGUCUGAUCCAGCCAUGCCGCGUGCGGGAAGAAGGCCUUCGGGUUGUAAACCGCUUUUGUCAGGGAAGAAACGCUCUGGGUUAAUACCUCGGGGUAAUGACGGUACCUGAAGAAUAAGCACCGGCUAACUACGUGCCAGCAGCCGCGGUAACAC